rnacentral:lncRNA from 1 species
CUGGCUGGGGCGGUGCCACCUCUUUCACUAUUUCAGCUCACUUGGUUUGGCUCCAAACUUGGCCCAAACCAGUCCGAACUUGGGCCUAAUUGGCCUCUACUUGGGUUAUAGGAUUAACACCUAAUCCUAACCCUAAUUAAUGUGCUAACUAUGAUUUUAAAGACAUUUUCUAAGCUAUUACAAAGUCCGCAAGUCAAGACUUCUUCUGGCGAGCUUCCGGCAAACUUCCGACGGUCUUCCGAUGAACUCUCGGAAACCAUUCUGCGGACUCCCG